UACAGAGGUCUCAAGCGUUGUUCGGAUUCAUUGGGCGUAAAGGGUGCGUAGGCGGCGCGGUAAGUCGGGUGUGAAAUCUCGGAGCUUAACUCCGAAACUGCAUUCGAUACUGCCGUGCUUGAGGACUGGAGAGGAGACUGGAAUUUACGGUGUAGCGGUGAAAUGCGUAGAUAUCUGGAGGAACACCGGUGGCGAAGGCGGCGUUCUGGACUGCAACUGACACUGAAAACGAAAGCCAGGGGAGCAAACGGG
rnacentral:rRNA from 1 species